GAGACGCGGUGCGCACGCGCGUGAGGGAUGUCGCGGAUUGGAUCACCUCCCACCCUGAGGCCCCCCAAGACUUUGAACAGUUCUUCAGUCAUCCUUACAGAAAGAUACCCUCUCCAGACAAACGCAGUAUUUAUAUACGGUCCAUUGGUAAAUACUGGAUCUCUAUGAAGCACCAGAAUUAUCAGUGAAGAAUAUAUUAAAUGGCUCACGGGCUACUGUAAAGCAUAUUUCUAUCGCUUGAGAGUAAAACUGCUAGAACCAGUUCCUGUUUCUACAACAAGGUGUUCCUUUAGAGUCAAUGAGAACACACAAAACCUACAAAUUCAUGCAGGGGACAUCCUGAAGUUCUUGAAAAAGAAGAAACCUGAAGAUGCCUUCUGUGUUGUGGGAAUAACAAUGAUUGAUCUUUACCCAAGAGACUUGUGGAAUUUUGUCUUUGGACAGGCCUCUUUGACAGAUGGCACUGGUGAGGUGGAUUGAUGAUGAAUCUUCUGGCACACCUGGAGCAACUCCAGAACACAGUCGUGAGGAUAAUGGGAAUUUACUGAAACCCGUGGAAGGAAGCCUUUAAGGAAUGGAAAGAGUGGAUAAUAAAAUGCCUGACUGUUCUCCAAAAAUAAGGACCUUCAAAUAGGAGUGAUUGAAAUAAAUGACUACUUGCAUGUUAUGCUUUCAUUUGGGUGGAAUACUUCAUCAGAAUAAACUAUUGAUCUUGUGCUGUGUCAAAGUAA
ensembl:lncRNA AMZ2P1 AMZ2 pseudogene 1